rnacentral:rRNA from 1 species
CGCGUGAGCAACUUGCCUCAAAGAGGGGAUAGUCCUGGGAAACUGGGUUUAAUACCGCAUAUGCUCUUCGGAGUAAAGCUGGCUUCGGCUGGUGCUUUGAGAUAGGCUCGCGUCCUAUCAGCUAGUUGGUGAGGUAACGGCUCACCAAGGCGACGACGGGUAGUUGGUCUGAGAGGACGAUCAGCAACACUGGAACUGAGACACGGUCCAGACACCUACGGGUGGCAGCAGUCGAGAAUCAUUCACAAUGGGGGCAACCCUGAUGGUGCAACGCCGCGUGGAGGAUGAAGGCCCUAGGGU